UGUUGCUUAUAACUGUAUGGGCUUAGGGCUUUUGAUUUUUAGCUUGAAGUUUCUCCAGUGCAUUAAAAUGCAAAUACAUAGAAGAUGUGAAUGAACCUCUAUAAACCAUUUAUAUCUCGGUGUGAAGAGACGAUCAGAAAGGCAGUCUGACAGGGGAAAGGAGAAUGUGAGGCCCCCCUACACGGGAGUAGGAGAACAGGGAGGAACAGAGCCUCUGGUGUUGAAAUAUCCACGCUACAGUUGUGCUUGUCUGGUCCUGUUGAAGAUUUUAACGUCUGUUUGCAUAUUCCCAACUGCUGUGUGGCCAAGAAUAAGCAAGUUUAUGUAAUGUUCCAAAGAAACUGCUCAACACCAAGGCUCAUUUUAACUGAGGUCAUCAGACUGUCCAACAUCAGCAGUGGACGUGGAGGAGGAACUCCUGCAAGCCAUAAGUGAAAACUUCAUGUGACUCACAAAGGAAAGCCCUCAGGCUCAAUGCGGAUGCGCAACUGAGACCUUACAAGCCAGAGGGAUAAAGGCCCCAUCAUCCGUCUUCUCAACAGACUGCCAAUCUAGAAUUUUCUAUUCUGCAAAACUAAGUUUCAUCAAUGAAGGAGAAAUAAAGGCUUUUUUAGACAGGGGAACACUGAAAGAACUUGUCACAACCAGACCUGCCCAGCAAGUGCUCAGAUGUGCCUUAUACACAGAUCACCACAAUGAUCACUGACAAGUGCAAAGCCACUCAAACCUAGAGUUAAUAGCUAAUAUUCUCCUUUCCUGAAGUACUGCUCAGCCUCUUCUUCCAGUGAAUUUUGCUCAUAAAAUAGUA